UACGGAGGGUGCAAGCGUUAUCCGGAUUCACUGGGUUUAAAGGGUGCGUAGGCGGGUUUUUAAGUCAGCGGUGAAAGCUCCGAGCUUAACUCGGAAAUUGCCGUUGAUACUAUUAAUCUUGAAUUUAGUUGAGGUGGGCGGAAUGUGUAGUGUAGCGGUGAAAUGCUUAGAUAUUACACAGAACACCUAUUGCGAAGGCAGCUCGCUAAACUAAUAUUGACGCUGAGGCACGAAAGCGUGGGGAUCAAACAGG
rnacentral:rRNA from 1 species